rnacentral:rRNA from 1 species
ACGCUCGACACCUACGAGAGGCAGCAGUCGGGAAUAUUGCGCAAUGGAGGAAACUCUGACGCAGUGACGCCGCGUGCAGGAAGAAGGUUUUCGGAUUGUAGACUGCUUUAGACAGGGAAGAAAAAAGACAGUACCUGUAGAAUAAGCUCCGGCUAACUACGUGCCAACAGCCGCGGUAAUCUGAGCGGGCUGGCAAGGC